rnacentral:rRNA from 1 species
AUGAUUCAAGAUUAGCCAUGCAUGUCUCAGUAUAAGCUUCUAUACGGCGAAACUGCGAAUGGCUCAUUAAAACAGUUAUAGUUUAUUUGAUGGUCAUCAAUUACAUGGAUAACCGUGGUAAUUCUAGAGCUAAUACAUGCGCCCAAACCCAACUUUUUGGAAGGGUUGUGUUUAUUAGAUACAGAACCAACCCAGGCUCCGCCUGGCCUUUUGGUGAUUCAUAAUAACCGAACGAAUCGCAUGGCUAUGCCGGCGAUUGACCAUUCAAGUUUCUGACCUAUCAGCUAUCGUCGGUAGGGUAUUGGCCUACCGUGGCAAUGACGGGUAACGGAGAAUUAGGGUUCGAUUCCGGAAAGGGAGCCUGAAAAACGGCUACCACAUCUAAGGAAGGCAGCAGGCGCGCAAAUUACCCAAUCCUGGACAGGGAGGUAGUGACCAGAAAUAACAAUACAGGGCAUACAUGUCUUGUAAUUGGAAUGAGUAAACUUUAAAUCACUUUA